rnacentral:rRNA from 1 species
GUCUUUUUGAUAAUAAUUUAAAGUCUAAUCUGCCCACUGAUUUAUUAAAGGGCUGCAGUAUAUUGACUGUACAAAGGUAGCAUAAUCAUUAGUUUUUUAAUUGGAAACUUGUAUGAAAGAUUUAAUGAAAUAUUAACUGUCUCUAAAUUAUUAAUAAAAUUUUAUUUUUUAGUUAAAAAGCUAAAAUAAAUUUAAAAGACGAGAAGACCCUAUAGAGUUUUAUAUUUAAUUUUAUUUUAAAAAUAUAUAAAAAUUAAUAUUAAAUAAAAUUAAAUAUUAUAUUGGGGUGAUAGAAAAAUUUAAUUAACUUUUUUUAAAUUAUAUACAUAAAUAAGUGAAUAAAUGAUCCAUUAAUAAUGAUUAUAAGAAAAAAUUACCUUAGGGAUAACAGCGUAAUAUUUUUUUUUAGUACAAAUAAGAAAAAAAGUUUGCGACCUCGAUGUUGGAUUAAGAUAAAAUUUAAAUGCAAAAGUUUAAAAUUUUGAUCUGUUCGAUCAUUAAAAUCUU